GAGUUUGAUCAUGGCUCAGGACGAACGCUGGCGGCGUGCCUAAUACAUGCAAGUCGAACGAACGGAUAAAGAGCUUGCUCUUUUGAAGUUAGUGGCGGACGGGUGAGUAAUACGUGGGUAACCUGCCCAUAAGAGGGGGAUAACAUUCGGAAACGGAUGCUAAUACCGCAUAUUUCAAGUGACCGCAUGGUCGCUUGAUGAAAGGCGGCUUCGGCUACCACUUAUGGAUGGACCCGCGGUGCAUUAGUUAGUUGGUGAGGUAAUGGCUCACCAAGACCAUGAUGCAUAGCCGACCUGAGAGGGUGAUCGGCCACACUGGGACUGAGACACGGCCCAGACUCCUACGGGAGGCAGCAGUAGGGAAUCUUCCGCAAUGGACGAAAGUCUGACGGAGCAAUGCCGCGUGAGUGAAGAAGGUUUUUCGGAUCGUAAAACUCUGUUGUUAGAGAAGAACAAGGAUGAGAGUAACUGCUCAUCCCCUGACGGUAUCUAACCAG
rnacentral:rRNA from 1 species